GAUGAACGCUGGCGGCGUGCCUAAUACAUGCAAGUCGAGCGAACAGACGAGGAGCUUGCUCCUCUGACGUUAGCGGCGGACGGGUGAGUAACACGUGGAUAACCUACCUAUAAGACUGGGAUAACUUCGGGAAACCGGAGCUAAUACCGGAUAAUAUAUUGAACCGCAUGGUUCAAUAGUGAAAGACGGUUUUGCUGUCACUUAUAGAUGGAUCCGCGCCGCAUUAGCUAGUUGGUAAGGUAACGGCUUACCAAGGCAACGAUGCGUAGCCGACCUGAGAGGGUGAUCGGCCACACUGGAACUGAGACACGGUCCAGACUCCUACGGGAGGCAGCAGUAGGGAAUCUUCCGCAAUGGACGAAAGCUUGACGGAGCAACGCCGCGUGAGUGAUGAAGGUCUUCGGAUCGUAAAACUCUGUUAUUAGGGAAGAACAAAUGUGUAAGUAACUAUGCACGUCUUGACGGUACCUAAUCAGAAAGCCACGGCUAACUACGUG
rnacentral:rRNA from 1 species